rnacentral:rRNA from 1 species
UACGUAGGGUGCGAGCGUUGUCCGGAAUUAUUGGGCGUAAAGAGCUCGUAGGCGGUGUGUCACGUCGGCCGUGAAAACCUGCAGCUUAACUGUGGGCGUGCGGUCGAUACGGGCAUCACUGGAGUUCGGCAGGGGAGACUGGAAUUCCUGGUGUAGCGGUGAAAUGCGCAGAUAUCAGGAGGAACACCGGUGGCGAAGGCGGGUCUCUGGGCCGAUACUGACGCUGAGGGGCGAAAGCGUGGGGAGCAAACAGG